rnacentral:rRNA from 1 species
AACGAACGCUGGCGGCAUGCCUAACACAUGCAAGUCGAACGAGAUCUUCGGAUCUAGUGGCGCACGGGUGCGUAACGCGUGGGAAUCUGCCCUUUGCUUCGGAAUAACAGUUAGAAAUGACUGCUAAUACCGGAUGAUGUCUUCGGACCAAAGAUUUAUCGGCAAAGGAUGAGCCCGCGUAGGAUUAGGUAGUUGGUGGGGUAAAGGCCUACCAAGCCGACGAUCCUUAGCUGGUCUGAGAGGAUGAUCAGCCACACUGGGACUGAGACACGGCCCAGACUCCUACGGGAGGCAGCAGUGGGGAAUUUUGGACAAUGGGCGCAAGCCUGAUCCAGCAAUGCCGCGUGCAGGAUGAAGGCCUUCGGUUGUAACUAGCUUUUGUUACGGUAACGAAACGGUAGAGACUCUAAUACAGUUUAG